GAAAGAUGCAGUGUUUCCUGCAAAAUCUGGGCUGGCUUUAGGGACCUGCUUAAGCAGAACACGGUAGAAGUGACGGACUGGGACGUAAGAAACCUUGAGAAUUUCACCUGGCCCUCGCUGUCUCUGGGAGCCCUGAGCCAUCAUAGAAGUCCUUCCUGUAUUGAAGAUCCCCAAGACCUCCAUUACCGGAAAGGGCCUGUGCCGAUACUCAGACCAAGAGUCCAAACUGAGCUCAGUCUGCCAACUCGCCGUGCCACGAUGCCAGAGGCGUCUGUGAAUGAGGCCCUUCUAGACCCGCUCAUGCUCAUCACCCAGCUGAGUAACCUCCACAAUUUCAGGCCGAACACGGAACUGCUGAUUUGAACUCUGCCUGAAUUUCUUGGCCCACAGAACAAUAAGAUAUAAUUAAAAGGCAUGACUUACGCCACUAUGUUUUGUAAUUUGUUUGACAACAAAAGAUAACAAAUAGUGAAAACUGUAGCUUCUACAUAAAGAUAUACAUGGAUAUUUUCUUCUUUUUUUUUUCUAUUUUAAUUGGUUUUAGAGCUGGGGUCUCACUCAGUGUCUAGAGUGCAGCAAAGUAAUCACAGCUUACUGGAGCCUCGAACUCCUGGGCUCAAACAAUCCUCCCACUUCAGCCUCCUGAGUAGCUGAGACUGUAGUCGUAAGCCACCGUGCCUGCCUGACAGCUUCUCUUUUACAAAAAUUCAUGAAAAACUGUCAUCUCCUGCCCCCCCAACCCUUGAUUCCUCUCCCUGAUAGGAACCAACUUUCAAUUCUUUUGGCUCUUUCUUCUGGUUUUGAUUUCCACGUUUUUAAAAAUAAAUAUAUAUGUGUUCAUAAUGUUAUUACUUGA
rnacentral:lncRNA from 13 species